UAAUAAGUGUUUUAUGGCACUUUUUAAAUCCAUAUCCACCUUGUGUGCAAUGUCAGUCGAUCUUCUUCAUGGAGAUCGACCAAACAUCAACCUUUAUCUUUUAACUCUUUGUCUGAAAAAUAUUAUGAAUAAGCUAAUUCAAAAUA
rnacentral:misc_RNA from 1 species